rnacentral:lncRNA from 1 species
CUCGCAUGUUGCUGAAGUGCGACUUUGGUAAAGGUUGAGAUGAUGCCACUUGGAGCUAGUGCAACCGUUGAAUGCAUUCUAAUCCUUUGUAUUAUAUGUCUUGACUCCUCAUUUGCUCAUAUAUGUGAGAUGGUGCUAGGUUUUCCUCUCAUUUGUUUUCUGUGUUUUUUCUCUGAAAAAACUUUUGAUUUUUCGUCUGUAAUCUUUGGUUUUUAGAUCUUCUUGGUGAAGUCUAAUGUAGAUUACUUUGUGAAAAGGGUGAUUCUGUUCUUGAGUGAGCAAAUAACCUUUUGUUACUUGAUGUAAUCUGUUGAGUAUAUUCUUGAAAGAAAAACUGAGUCUGAGGGCUAGAUCCUUUGGAUCUUUGAAUUUUGAUUCUUGUCCUUAUAAUUUUUUGCUGGUUUUUAGUGGAUUAGAGCGAAAACCGCUUUAGUGAAUGCUUAGUGUGGUGAUACAUCCGGGCCUUAGGGUAAAAAGCUCUUGGUGUUCUUUAAUUUUCUGUCAUUAAUUUGGUUUUUUCUAAGACUGUUAAUACCAAUUACCAACAAAACUAUGAGGCAGCAAAUGCUCAGUAAUUGUGCAGUUAAGUAUUAAGAAAGAACGAAGACGAGAACAAGCCGCUACACAGUUUGUUCUUGCUGCCAAUUUUGCUGCUUUAAUAAAAGGAUCUUCAAGUAUUAGAGUUUGAAGAUGGGAAUAAUAUCUUCAACAAAACAAAGUAUGCAAUAAUAACUUCGUCGAAAGUUUUGGAGGAGACUUGACAAUAUGAUCAAUGAAACUCUAGAUCAUUCCGGGUUUCAAGAGAUAAUUGGUGGUCAGCUCGCCACAGAAACAUUGAAGGUGAUAUUUAAAUUUUCUAUGUGAAACUACUUGAUUAUUAUAAUUCGAUAUCGUCUUGCAUUUCUUCCCCUAAUUACUGAUAUUCGUUGUACGUUGGUUUGCUAUAGACUAUGCCUUAUCGCACAUACAAAUAUAAGCUGGGCAAAAAGUGUUUUAAGUUGUGGAGUGUAAUUAUUGCAGUUGUGCAGACUCCAUACACAUAUUGACCUCCAAAGGAUAAUUUAGGAAUUUCACAAUUAUAAUUUUGAUUUUUACAAAAGAUAGGAUCUGUCAUUAAGAUUUAAUAUAUCAUCAUCAAAAAGAAAGAGUUUAGAAAAAAAAAAAAAGAGUAGUGUGAGAUUUUUCUCUUGUAAAUUUCUUUUCAUCAUAGUUAAUUAAAGCAUUGUUGGACAAAGACGUAAUCUCAGAUUUAGACGAAGCUCUAUGAAUCUGACGUGUCCUGUGUAUCUUUUCUUUUAGCAACUUUAUUGCUCUAGAUGGUAUAGGAUUAUGAGUUCUAAUUCUCAAUAGAAACUAGAUAUGAAUAUGACUAUUAUAUAGGCACCCAGCUUUCGCUCUUACCAUUUGGUUUCAAGUUUUUGAGAUUUAUUGUCAUAGAAUCAAAAUCAUUCUUGUUUUUGGCUUCUGUCCCACAAAGAAUAUUAUAAAAACAUGUUUUGAAUUUAUUUAGCUGAUCCAUAUUGAUGGUUUCCUUUCAGGUCUUGCUGAGAUGACCAGGUUGGCACAGAAUGAGUUCUAACAGCUAGAAAAUGGUUAUGAAGAUGCAUCAGAAAAUUGGAAUAAUGUUGAAUUAGGGUGUCCCCGGGGGCAUAACCCAAUAGUGCAAAGAACAGGAGUGAGGUAGUCUCAGUCUUGCUGGCAAUUGUAGUGUGAGGGUUCGAUUAUUGAGAUAUGAAAUUGUACUCUCUUUGUGAGCACCAAUGUACGAGCAAGUUAUUGUUCCCUGGCCUGCUGGGGUAUAUCCCACGAUUUACCUCCCUCACGAUACUCCAGGGGCGGGGCGGUGGGGGCCUUCAAAGUUGGAGUUCAACCUUUUUUUUCUUUUUUUUUAAAUGUUGAAUUAUGGCAGUACAUCAGCUGUAUUGAAAAUUUUCGCUGUGAAAAAGUUUAUCUAAUAUGUACUCGAGUUUGUCAGAAUACGUUAUUCAGACCAAGAUUUAUUAUAUUCUUGUCAGGGACUGAUCCAGAAUUGAAUUCAAAAUCGGGCUGAAAAAUUUCAAGCCGGG